rnacentral:lncRNA from 1 species
CCCCAUAAAGAGCACGGGAAGUUGGCUUAGGGCUCUUGCCUAACCUAGCCACACUCCCCGUGUGCCCACCCCCCCCCCAUUUUUUUGGGGGGGGGCUGCCUCUCACACUGUCCAAUCGGCGCGUAUAAUGCCUCAUAACGGUGCCGUUCCGCCUUGGCUGCCUCCAGCUCCUCCUUAGGGCGACGGUAUUCCCCAGCCUGGUGCCAUGGUCCAGCCCCGUCCAAAAUUUCCUCCCAUGUCCAUGAUUCCAGAUAGCUCCUCUCCUGGUGCUGCUCCUUCCUCCGCUGCUUGGUCCGUUGUUGGUGGGAAGUUCUGUCACGGCCGUCAUAAGGAUUGGACCAAAAUGCAGCGGGUUAAGAUGACAUCUAUAACUGUAUUGACCGGAUCAUCUGUUUGGGAGGAGAUGGGACUCUACUCUGCGCCUUCUCUCUCUUUAAGAAGGCAUGAACAGCAGCCCGGCCCAGCGCCUCAUGGCACGGCGCUGAAAAGCAGCUCUGCCAGUAGCCAACACUCUCCUGGAGACCUGUGUGGUGACAGACGUGCUGGAGAAGCUUUGUCACAGAAGACAGGCAUCCAAGUUCAUCUAUGGACCACUGUACUGUCGUAACAGGGUUGACCUUCGGAUUGCUGAGCCAGCACUUACUCAGAACCCUAAUGACAAUAGGGGUUGCAUGACAAAGGAUGGACCCCAGCAAGUCAUGUGGGGCCUGAGGCACAGUACGAAGAGCUAGGGGAUCACAAGGCAGCCGCUCCCUCACCCAUCAACACUCCCCUCAGACAGUCAGGUGACACGCCUGCAAGUGAUCUCACAGAAAAGCCCCGUCUUUUCAUUCUGUUAUGUACUGUUGACAGACAGAAAAAAAUACAUGUAAAAGAAGGGGAAAAAUAAGUAUUUAUUUUAUACCUGAAAAAACUGUUCAUGAUGAAUAUUAUUACUAGGUUUGUUUUGUUAUUGAAUUGACAGCUCCUGUCCUACUUUAUAAAAGGGUGAUGUUAUGGGUGUAAGACGGCAUGUUGAUGCAGCAGUGUUUUUACCGGUGUGCUUGACAUACCUGGAUGUAUUGCAAUGUGCUGAACAAGACUGGUUACUCGCAUCAAUGACUCUGUCUAGUCAUUUACGUUCCAGACAGCAUUGAAAGUAUUGAAAAACCAUCCAGUGGCUUUUUUCAAAACCCCCGGUAUACGGUAUAUACUGUAUAACGCCUAAGCCUAUCGUGAACUCAUCAGGGUGUCCAGUGUGGCAGUCCCCUGCACCAACCUCUCCUAACUGUAUAUGUGUGUGUCUUUCAGAGGGGUUGGGAUAAAGCAGAAGUCCUUGGACCUUGUGUUCAACAAAUAAAGGGAUCUUAAUCUUAAUAGUAUCUCUUUGCCAUUCACCCAUGUCGUCUUCCUGUCAUUUCAUGACCUUACUACUUAUCUGUCAUGACCCUAAUCAACUUGUCUUUGCAGCCAUUCCUGGGAAGCCCCUUUCUACUGUACUAUUAUUAUGUUUUAGAAUUUACUUGUAAUUUACUCUGCAGCUUCUAAUUUAAACCAUAGUACCAUUGUGGUUUUCUUAUUCACUUCCAAUUAUUAGCUAUUAUGUACAGUUUUCCAAGAGACAUCUAUGCUACGCUGCUACACUACACUGUAUGUAACAGGUGACAUCAUUCACAUGAGGUAGUGAUGGAUGCCCCAUAUUGUUGAUGUCUUCCAUGCUGUUACACAGCUAUUAUGUACCGUUUUCCAAGAAACUCGUUCAACGUUUAUGCCACACUGCUACACUAUGUAACAAUGAGGUGGUGGCGUGUAUUCAUGGGUGCCAAGAGAAGCCAGACUUCCCCAAAAAAUGUAGCAAGAAAAAUAAAUGCAGAUAAUAAUUGA